rnacentral:rRNA from 1 species
CCAAUAGCGUAUAUUAAAGUUGUUGCAGUUAAAAAGCUCGUAGUUGAAUUUCGGGGUUAGUAGGUCGGUCAUGCCUCAGGUAUGUACUGGUCUCACUGAUUCCUCCUUCCUGAUGAGCCGUAAUGCCAUUAAUUUGGUGUUGCGGGGAAUCUGGACUGUUACUUUGAAAAAAUUAGAGUGUUUAAAGCAGGCUAACGCUUGAAUACAUUAGCAUGGAAUAAUGGAAUAGGACGUUCGAUCCUAUUUUGUUGGUUUCUAGGAUUGACGUAAUGAUUAAUAGGGAUAGUUGGGGGCAUUAGUAUUCAAUUGUCAGAGGUGAAAUUCUUGGAUUUAUUGAAGACUAACUACUGCGAAAGCAUUUGCCAAGGAUGUUUUCAUUAAUCAAGAACGAAAGUUAGGGGAUCGAAGACGAUCAGAUACCGUCGUAGUCUUAACCAUAAACUAUGCCGACUAGGGAUCGGAUGAUGUUAAUUUUUUAAUGACUCAUUCGGCGCCUUACG